CUUCUCUGGGGUAGUAAUCCGGGCCCCACCCCGUGCAGCUUUGAGAGGCUUCGCGCCUUCCAGGCAGGACUACUGGGGGUUCCCAAAAGCACCCCCGCGGCCAGCUCUGUCAGGACCACCGGGGUCCAUGUGAACGCGAUUCCAGGGCCCCACCGUGUCGCCUGAAGCGGAAUCUCUGGUCGGGGCCCAGGAAUCCGAGUUUUUGAAACAAGGAGAAGACGUUUCUCGAACCUGUUUGCAGAGAGCCGUCUUGCCCGCUUUGAGGGCCCUUUCUCGGGAGACCUGUUUACUUUGUUCAGCCUCUGAAUUCAGCAGACCCACUUGAUUGGCUGAAUGAGGAGGAAAUCCACCAAGGCCACUAGCUUGUGAGUGAAUGUGGUCCCUUCAGGUAAGGGCCAGGCAGCCUCUGCCAGGACUUGGGAAGGGUUUUCCUAGAGGAAUCCUGGCAGAAAAAAAAAAAACACAAAAACCCAAACUCUCCAAGGGCUGGACGCUGGAGAAUCCCAGCAAGGAAAAGAAACAAAUCUUAUCUCAUGCCGGAAGAUAACCUCUUCCCUUUGUUGGCGCUUUUCCUUGCUUUCAGGAUGAAUUAAAAUUCUUAUCUGCUCUGCACCCAGUGAACUUGGCCUCGCCUUCCUGAUUGCUGCGGCUGACUUUCUCAAGCUUUGUGGGGUUAUUUUUGCCUCUGGGUGGUGGUCAUUCCUUCCCAGGCAUUAGGUUCAACACAGUCACAGAAAAAGAGGAACUUAGCAAACACCCUCAAAUGGCAGGACCGACCCCCAAAACCUACUUUCAUUUUCUUCCAUUCUGGGUUCUGGGUAAUUUCUUGACAACUACGAGAAAGAAGACAGCGAGAAAUGAAUUGUUUUUCCAAUGCAGUUGUGAACAGAUGUAUAACCUCCUAGUUGCAGGGACGUUCUAGGAAUCCCUCACACCACCUUAAAGGGCCAGGGAAACGGGAGGAGGUGCUGAGGGUUGGGUGGGUGCUCAGCGUUGGCUGGGCUCAGCCUCAUCCUAACGAGAGCUGCAGCCAUAACCUGGGUCACCUUUGCUGUCUCGGGCUUCUAAAUUUGGCAGUGAGAACAGGCUUGCUUCCUUUGAGCUAUUGAUCUGAAUAGCCGAAUCUCAUUCUGAUGGUCCGAAUUACAUUUACAGGCUGCUAGGGUGAAGGCCUUGCUAAUUGGCCACUUGCCUCACCACUGGCUUUGAAACAAUCGCUUGCAUUCUAAGCCCGGCAGGAAGCAGCAGACCCAUCAAGGCCCUAGGCUUGCUCUUUGUUCUGACUUCAUGGCAUUUUAUGCCACAAUAAGAAACACUGUGUACUCCGUGGGAGCCCAUUGUGCCAGGCUGCAAGGAUGUGGGCUCCGGUGCAGAGGGCCUGGUGCUCUUCCCCAGGAAGAAGAGGGGCUUUGUGACAGGCUGGGGGGACAAAACAAGGGGUGCUGGACACUGUUACUGGGGCAACUGCCUGGCCAGUGUGGAGGCAGCUUUAGUCCCUGGGACCUCUUCUGUGCCCAAGGAGGGGGCGGGGCAGGGGAAGGAUGGAAUUUCAUCUAGAGUAGCAGGUCCUGGUUAGCUGGUUAAUUAUGCAUCAAGACUGGGCUAGCCACUGCCUCCGUUUCUUGGGCUACCGAGACAACCUCCACCUGCCUCUAGAUUCCGUGCCAGCUGAUCGUAUCUAUCUCACCAACUCUUGUUCCACCAGAAAACGGCAUCUUGUGACAGUCCUGUAUCCUCCCAAGCGACCUUGAGGACCUCAACAGCUUGGACAUCUAAUAAACAGCACUGCGGGGUUUCAGGCCACCACUGGCCAGCUGUGGGUCACAUUCGGACUUACCCUCUCUCUUUCAACCUGGCUGUGGCUGAGCCUCGUGAGUUCUGCAAACCUCUGCUCAUAGAAGUGAAGCAGCAGCACCAGCUCCUUCUCACCAACCAAGCCCUGGCCCUUGCUUGUCUUCCUCGGACCUGGCUUCCUCCUGCAGAAGCUGCCCAUGGUUUUCUCACCAGUGCUCUUUGCCAGCCAGACUUUAUGCUCAAGACACUUGGAUGUAUAACGGCAAAUCAAUCAGCUAGAAAAUGGCUUGCAACUUUCAGGCCAAGAGACUUGCUACUGAUGGAAAUUCUCAAUAUGAUCCACUGGAAGAAGCUGACAGCCUGGCGCUGAACGUUCUAUCAAGUCUUCAAAUAUGUUCAAGAGAUGCUCCCAGAAGUGGUGCCACUUCUCCAGAAGAGAAGCCAUUUGCCAAGGACGAGCAACAGGAGGGUGACCAGGAGCCUUAGCAGGAAUCCCAGCAGAAUAUUCAAACUUCCUGCACAUCCCAGGCAGCAGAACUUCACACUGCCCUGAGGCCACUGAGCCCAUGGAACCUUUCUUCCCCAGCCAGCACCAGCCAGAAGGUCCUUUGAGCCUGCAAGCUCCUUAAGAAUGAGGAUCAUCUCUUAGCCAGUCUACGCCUUGCCUCAUACUGUCGUGCAGGACUAAUAUUAGUAUGAUUUAUGGGGCUUGAGAAGAUGCAUUCAGCCCAAAUUACAGGGGAACUUCAAAACUAGAACACAUUUUUGUUGUUGUUGUCGUGCAAACUGCCCAAGAUGGCUUAAGAUAAAGGUUAUUUAAUUUGUUUGCUUGUUCAAAAACACUGCUUUCUUCAAAGCAUCAGAUCUCCUAAUGAUUGCCAAAACCAUUACCAUGUGUCCUCGAAUCAAGUUCUCAGCAAACUAAUAAAGCUGAACAACUGGAGACUGUUUUACCAGUUUCACUGCCUGGCAGUGAAGAAAUUGCCACUAUCCGUGGAGGCAGGAUCCUCUGACCUUCAGCAACUGUAACCUCAGUUUCUGUAACUGUAAAAUGGUCCAUCUUGUUAUUGCAAAGUUUAGCAAAAAUGUACAUAAAUGGCCUAACUGGUGCACGUUAAGUGUAAUAAUGAUGGCUGCAUAUUCCACUGUCAAGAAUACUACCACUAGUACUGAGAAGAAUAAUGGGAAAUCUGCAGUCAUUCCAGUGAGACAACUGAAUUUGACCAGAAACUCAUUGUUAUGCAGACUUCACAGGUUAGGAAUAACUUAUUCAAUAGCCUUCAUUCCUGUGUAGUUUUUGUUGAUUCUCUCCCUCAUCCUUCUUUAUGAAAUCCAAACGGCAAAUAGCAACUCUUUAUAUUAUGAUCUGUUCAACAAAUACCUGUGUGCCUUUGCUAUGCUAUAAUUUGUGGGUUCACAAAGAUGAGCAAGACAUUGCCUCAUGACCUUAAAGAUUAUUAUAAUCUAAUUCGUCGGCAGUGCUGACUUCUUCCCUGUGAUACCCUUUUGGUUCUGUGGAAAACAAACUCUCUCACAAAAUACUUUCUCUUCUCUGUCUGUAAGCACAGUCACAAAUGAGGUGACCCAGACUGCACAGUUUGUGUGUACAUGGGUUUAAGAAUUUUCAGCACUCACCGGCCGGGCGCUGUGGCUCAUGCCUGUAAUCCCAGCACUUUGGGAGGCUCAGGCGGGCAAAUCACAAGGUCAAGAGUUCAAGAUCACCCUGACCAACAUGGUGAAACCCUCUGUCUACUAAAAAUACAAAAAAUUAGCUGGGCAUGGUGGUACGUGCCUGUAAUCCCAGCUACUUGGGAAGCUGAGGCAGGAGAAUCUCUUGAACCUGGGAGGCAGAGGUUGCAGUGAGCAGAGAUUGUACGUACCACUGCACUCCAGCCUGGGCGACAGAGAGAGACUCCACCUCAAAAAAAAAAAAAGUUUAUAACACUCAUCCAUCUGGGCAUGGAGGCUCAUGUCGGUAAUCCCAACACUUUGAGAGGCCAAGGCAGGAAGAUCACUUGAGCCCAGGAGUUUGAGACCAGCCUGGGCAACAAAGUGAGACUACUGUUUCUACAAAAAAGGAAAUAAAAAUUAUCUGGGUAUGCUGGCACACACCUGUGAUCCCGGCUACAUGGGAGGCUGAGGCAACAGGAUUGCUUGAGCCCAGGAGGUUGAGGCUGCAGUGAGCCAUAUUUGUGCCACUGAACUCCAGCCUGGGCAAGAGCAAGACCUUGUCUCAAAAAAGAAAGAGUUUCAAACCCUCAAUUUGUACACCAAGUUCCCAUCACUUUACUCGCAUGAAAAGUGAAUGAAAUUUUAGACCUUUGGGGUCUUUCUCAGCUGGGUUCUCACCAUGCCAUGGAUUCAUAGAUUAAUCUGCAGGAAGACCAAGUCCUAUUUACACCGGAAGAUGAAUUGUAACUUCCUUUCCAAGUAGAAGGACAAGAUCUUUGCCUUACAGAAAAGUAAGGGGUUUGUGUUCAGGAGUUUCAUUGCCAGGUAACUCAGUGUCCUGUCUGUCAGUGAAUUUGGGGAAGACUGUGGUUAGCUUUGGACAGCAUAUAGUCCAUAGCUCCAGGAUCUGAGCAAGGCGAUGCCUCCACUUGUAAAGAAACCCAACUGCUGUUUAGAUUAAAGGCACCUGCCUCCAUUUUCUUGACAAUGCUGGGAAGCUGUGAUUGUCAGCUGGAUAGUUCUUAAUUUGACCAGGAAAGGGGGGAAAAGGGUGGAAAUCUCAUAUUUGUACAAGACCCUCACAACUGAGAACCAGUCCAUUCAAUUGCUCACGUUCAGCUCCACCCAUCACUUGCCACAUACAGAUAGUUCUUGAUAGACAAAGUCGAAAAGGAAGCAUAAAGGGGAAAUUCGGUUCCUGAACCCUCAUCCCGCCCCACACCACCUUGACUGGGAUUCCUGGUGCCUAGGAGGUACCAAGAUCCCAUUGGAGAGACACCUCUUUGAAAAAAAUGUGCUUUCUUUGGAUCCUGGGAAGAAUUACAGCUUAAUCGCAGGAGCCAAUGUUGCCUUGGGGUAAUAGGCAGCUUUCUGUGCAGUCACAAAUAAUAAUAGGCCGCCUCUGUUUGCCUGAGUGUACGAGAAAUGUGUGUUGUCUCACAUACCCAGAGGAUAUCUUAAUUAAAGCUUAAUUAUGUACCAUACAUAUGUUUUAUUUUGGAACUUGGGGGUGGAAUUUUUGAUUUUAGGAAGGUUGAUGCCUAAUAAGUAGGCAGGCAGGGGAACGUAAACACCGGCUGAGCCCUUUCUUUUGUCCCUCCUCUAAGUGGUUCUGAAUGGGUUUUGGUUCCAGUGUGUGCCUUCAGAACAGCCUGCCCCCGGCGCCACCGCUUAGGGUGGCCUCAGCGUGUGCACAUUCACAGAGCCAACGGUAUGAUCACACGCAGGAGAGCCUGUUUGGUUUCUGGGGGUGACACUGCACAGCGUGCCAGCUACAGGAGGUAAGAAAUCAAAAUAAGUCUCUGGAGAGGAUGAGAUUUUAUUGGUCGCUUGCUCCUUUGGCGCUAGAAGGUGGAGCCCGAGUACAGUGGUCACGCUGUCCCAUCUUCCUGCUCCCCCAACACCACACCACCUGGUAUUGUUCUUGGCAUU